rnacentral:pre_miRNA from 4 species
UCUUAGGGAUGAGCAAAGAAAGUGGUUUCUUAAGAUAGAAUCUACUGCUGGGGCAGAUGCUGUGAA